UACAGAGGGUGCAAGCGUUAAUCGGAAUUACUGGGCGUAAAGGGCGCGUAGGUUGUUGUUUAAGUGAGAUGUGAAAUCCCCGGGCCUAACCUGGGAACUGCAUCUUAUACUGGAUGACUGGAGUGCAAUAGAGGGUAGUGGAAUUUCCGGUGUAGCGGUGAAAUGCGUAGAUAUCGGAAGGAACACCAGUGGCGAAGGCGGCUACCUGGAUUGACACUGACACUGAGGCGCGAGAGCGUGGGGAGCAAACAGG
rnacentral:rRNA from 1 species